rnacentral:rRNA from 1 species
CGGCAGCACGGACUUCGGUCUGGUGGCGAGUGGCGAACGGGUGAGUAACAUAUCGGAACGUAUCCAAUAAUGGGGGAUAACUAAUCGAAAGGUUGGCUAAUACCGCAUACGCCCUACGGGGGAAAGCUAGGGACCUUCGGGCCUGGCGUUAAUGGAGCGGCCGAUAUCUGAUUAGCUAGUUGGUGGGGUAAAGGCUCACCAAGGCGACGAUCAGUAGCUGGUCUGAGAGGACGACCAGCCACACUGGAACUGAGACACGGUCCAGACUCCUACGGGAGGCAGCAGUGGGGAAUUUUGGACAAUGGGCGCAAGCCUGAUCCAGCCAUUCCGCGUGAGUGAAGAAGGCCUUCGGGUUGUAAAGCUCUUUCGCAAGGGAAGAACACUUAGCCACUAACAUUGGCUGAGGUUGACGGUACCUUGAUAAGAAGCACCGGCUAACUACGUGCCAGCAGCCGCGGUAAUACGUAGGGUGCGAGCGUUAAUCGGAAUUACUGGGCGUAAAGCGUGCGCAGGCGGCCUUGAAAGUCAGAUGUGAAAUCCCCGAGCUCAACUUGGGAACUGCGUUUGAAACUCCAAGGCUAGAAUAUGUCAGAGGGGGGUAGAAUUCCACGUGUAGCAGU